AUUGAACGCUGGCGGCAGGCCUAACACAUGCAAGUCGAGCGGUAGAGAGAAGCUUGCUUCUCUUGAGAGCGGCGGACGGGUGAGUAAUGCCUAGGAAUCUGCCUGGUAGUGGGGGAUAACGUUCGGAAACGGACGCUAAUACCGCAUACGUCCUACGGGAGAAAGCAGGGGACCUUCGGGCCUUGCGCUAUCAGAUGAGCCUAGGUCGGAUUAGCUAGUUGGUGGGGUAAUGGCUCACCAAGGCGACGAUCCGUAACUGGUCUGAGAGGAUGAUCAGUCACACUGGAACUGAGACACGGUCCAGACUCCUACGGGAGGCAGCAGUGGGGAAUAUUGGACAAUGGGCGAAAGCCUGAUCCAGCCAUGCCGCGUGUAGGAAGAAGGUCUUCGGAUUGUAAAGCACUUUAAGUUGGGAGGAAGGGCAGUAAAUUAAUACUUUGCUGUUUUGACGUUACCGACAGAAUAAGCACCGGCUAACUCUGUG
rnacentral:rRNA from 1 species